CAAUAGCGUAUAUUAAAGUUGUUGCAGUUAGAACGCUCGUAGUCGGAUUUCGGGGCGGGCCGACCGGUCUGCCGAUGGGUACGCACUGGUCGGCGCGUCCUUCCUUCCGGAGACCGUUCCUACUCUUAACUGAGCGGGGGCGGGAGACGGAUCGUUUACUUUGAAAAAAUCAGAGUGUUUCAAGCAGGCAGCUCGCUCUUGCAUGGAUUAGCAUGGGAUAAUGAAAUAGGACUUUGGUGCUAUUUUGUUGGUUUCGAACACCGAAGUAAUGAUUAAAAGGGACAGUCAGGGGCACUCGUAUUCCGCCGAGAGAGGUGAAAUUCUCAGACCAGCGGAAGACGAACCACUGCGAAAGCAUUUGCCAGGGAUGUUUUCACUG
rnacentral:rRNA from 1 species